CCUUGAUGGAUUGACCCCUGUAACAUGAAAUUCCAGGGUGACCAACCAUCCCAGUUUUCCAAGGUCACUGGGACACAAGACUUUCAAUCCUAAAACCAAAAAAGUCCCAGAUAUGCAGGAAUGAGACAGUCACCCUACUCAUUCAAGGUUCUUUAAGGUUUUGCUUUGAAGAAAUAACCUUGUAAUUCAAGGGCAUUGUAUUUCUCUGAACAACAGCACCACGUAUCACACAGAUUUCAUUGGAAAACAGACUUACAUAUAUAUGGAACAUGUAUCCUUCCAUUUUGGUGUUAGAACAUGACAAGGAAAGAACUAAAGACGGAAAGCUCGUGGGGUUAGAGGCACCAUACUCAAUCCACUCUUAAAUCUGUUAGAUCGUCACCAUCAAGGUUUGAUGCUCAUAAUGCAAGAAGGAGUCAUUUAAUAAGAGACUGAAAUAAGCAUUUGCUAACAAUGAAGUCAUUAUUUUAAUGAAACCUGAUCAACUUUCCUGAAUAAUUUGGGAUUUUUUAAACAACAUAUUUCAAGGAGAAAAAAAAAGGAAAGACCAUACUUUUGGCAGAAAUGAAAAAUGGUUACUAUGGCAGCUUGAUUUGGACAUGGAAAACCUGUUUCAAGCUAUUCAUAAACCCAACUCUUGCAAACUAUUUAUU